rnacentral:rRNA from 1 species
GUGCCAGCCGCCGCGGUAAUACGGAGGGUGCAAGCGUUAAUCGGAAUUACUGGGCGUAAAGCGCGCGUAGGCGGUCGAGUAAGUCAGAUGUGAAAGCCCUGGGCUUAACCUGGGAACUGCAUUUGGAACUGGCAGGCUAGAGUACAGAAGAGGGUGGUGGAAUUUCCUGUGUAGCGGUGAAAUGCGUAGAUAUAGGAAGGAACAUCAGUGGCGAAGGCGGCCACCUGGUCUGAUACUGACGCUGAGGUGCGAAAGCGUGGGGAGCAAACAGGAUUAGAAACCCUAGUAGUCC